rnacentral:rRNA from 1 species
CACGAACGCUGGCGGCAGGCUCAACACAUGCAAGUCGAGCGCCCCGCAAGGGGAGCGGCAGACGGGUGAGUAACGCGUGGGAAUCCACCCAUCUCUACGGAAUAACGCAUGGAAACGUGUGCUAAUACCGUAUACGUCCUUCGGGAGAAAGAUUUAUCGGAGAUGGAUGAGCCCGCGUUGGAUUAGCUAGUUGGUGGGGUAAAGGCCUACCAAGGCGACGAUCCAUAGCUGGUCUGAGAGGAUGAUCAGCCACACUGGGACUGAGACACGGCCCAGACUCCUACGGGAGGCAGCAGUGGGGAAUAUUGGACAAUGGGCGCAAGCCUGAUCCAGCCAUGCCGCGUGAGUGAUGAAGGCCCUAGGGUUGUAAAGCUCUUUCACCGGUGAAGAUAAUGACGGUAACCGGAGAAGAAGCCCCGGCUAACUUCGUGCCAGCCGCCGCCGUAACAC